GGAGUCCAGCUGACACAGGUCUCGGCCAGGGCUCUACCUGCGCUCAGGAUUGGAAAAGCUGUGCGCAAUGAGAGGCGCGUUGGUUCUCCGCAACGGGGAGCAGAAACCGGCCUGGGUCAGCCAGUGGACUGGUUGGAAGCAGAGAACUGAAAGAAAACCAACACCCUAGUGAGGCCAAGGGGUAAGCGUAGUCUUUACCCCUCAUCAAGGAAACUUCCCUUGGCAACUGACAUCGAUCAUUACAGAAAACUGCAACCAAUCAAAUUGCAGUUGUACAGCCCAAUCCCAGCAGAUACAGCUACAAAACAACUCUUGCAACUAAGCUCAGGGAUCGUUGUGAAGGAGAGAACGGGAAGAUUGUAAGAUCCAGGGAAUCAAGGAAUUUGCUAUGAGACAGUGUCUCCCAGAAGGUGCACAUCCAUGAAAUCUCUCCAAUAUAGCUGCCUAAAUGUGACCUGAGUAAUGACACCAGUCGCCAUGUUAACACGGAUGAGGGAAAGCCAGGGAGGCUACACCCCCACCUGCAGCCAACUAAGAAAUGCUGGGAUUGGGAAAAAUUGUCUUCCCCUAGGAAGAGCACUGCAGUUGUUAUCCCAUACCACGUGGUCAGCACUGAAAACAUAUAUAUACAACUAAUAUCAUACAGGCUGAGCCAAUUGCAUUUACACAUUUAGGAAUAUACAUAUACACUUUCAUGUGUGUAAUAACAACCAAAUUUUGUUUUGUUUUUAAAAAGCUCAUGAAUUUGAAAGAAAACAAUGGGAAGGAUAUAUGAGAGGGUUUGGAGAGAGGAAAGGGAAGGGGGAAAUGAUGUAAUUAUAUUAUAAUCUCGAAAAAAAAAAAAAAAAACGUGGGCUGGUGAGAUGGCUCAACGGGUAAAAGCACCAACUGCUCUUCUGAAGGUCAUGAGUUCAGAUCCCAGCAAACCAUAUGGUGGCUCACAACCACCCAUAACAAGAUCUGACGCCCUCUUCUGGUGUGUCUGAAGACAGCCACAGUGUAUUUACAUGUAAUAAAUAAAUAAAUCUUUUUAAAAAAGUAACAUGAAAUAACACAAACAGCUCUCAUCAAGAAGAUGAGAAGGGCCUCAAAGCUGAGAGUCAACCCAGGGAUUCUGGGUGGGAUUUUUAAAAUUUACUUAUAUGUAGUUUUUACAGUCCAGCCUGUCUCCCCCUUCCCCCAUACCUGAUCCUGCCCUGCUUUCCCCUCCUCCUCCCCUCUCCCACCCAGCUCCAUCCCUCCCUCUGCCUCCCAUGAUUAUUUUCUUCUCCCUUUCUAAGUGGGAUUGAAGCCUCCUCACUAGGGCCCUUCUGCUUGUUAACCUUCUUGCAGUCUGUGGGAUGUAGCCUAGAUGUUCUGUACUUUGGGGCUAAUAUCCACUUAUAGUGAGUAGCUACCAUACGUGUCCUUUUGGGUCUGGGUUACCUCACUCAGGAUGAUAUUUUCUGCUUCCAUCCAUUUGCCUGCAAAAGUCAUGAUGUCCUUGUUUUUAAUAGCUGAGUGGUAUUCCAUUGUGUAAAUGAACCACAUUUUCUGUAUCCAUUCUUCAGUUGAAGGACAUCUGGGUUGUUUACAGCUUCUGGCUAUUGCAAAUAAGGCUGCUAUGAACAUAGUGGAGCAAGUGUCCUUGUGGUAUGGUGGGCAUCUUUUGGGUAUAUGGCUGUACUGGCUAGUUUUGUGUCAACUUGACACAGCUGGAGUUAUCACAGAAAAAGGAGCUUCAGUUGAGGAAAUGCCUCCAUGAGAUCCAACUGUAAGGCAUUUNNNNNNNNNNNNNNNNNNNNNNNNNNNNNNNNNNNNNNNCAUCCCUCCAAUGGCUUCUGCAUCAGCUCCUGCUUCCUGACCUGCUUGAGUUCCAGUCCUGACUUCCUUGGUGAUGAACAGCAGUAUGGAAAUGUAAACUGAAUAAACCCUUUCCUCCCCAAUUUGCUUCUUGGCCAAGAUGUUUGUGCAGGAAUAGAAAUCCUGACUAAGACAAUGGCCAAGAGUGGUAUAGCUGGGUCUUCAUGUAGAACUACUUCCAACUUUCUGAGUAACCUCCAGAUUGAUUUCCAGAGUGGUUGUACCAGCUUGCAAUCCGACCAGCAAAGGAAGAGCGUUCCUCCUUCACAUCCUCGCCAGCAUGUGCUGUCACUUGAGUUUUUGAUCUUAGCCAUUCUGGUUAGUAUAAGGAGGAAUCUCAGAGUCAUUUUGAUUUGCAUUUCCCUGAUGACUAAGAACUUUGACUAUUUCAUUGUUUUAUUUUUUCCUUUUUGUUCAGUAAUGAUUAUAAUUUCAUUUAUUGUCUUUAAGGGAGAUGAGAAUAAAACAAACUUAGAGAAAGAGAAGACUAAAAUAUUAAAUGCUAGAUUGAAGGCCAUAGAAGAGAAAUUAUAGGAUAUUUUAAGUCAAAAUAAAGAACCUUCUAAGAAUCCAAUGUGGAACCUACC
ensembl:lincRNA Gm26782 predicted gene, 26782